AAGCCCUUUUAUUAGUGAUUGGG
rnacentral:miRNA from 12 species